CUUUUAUCUGCCAACUUCUAUUGAGUUUGCUAAGCAGGAAGCAAUAGAUGAACCCCAACACAUCAGAAUAGCUAUGUGCAGAAUGCUGCUAUCACAGCUGACAUCAGUCACAUCACUCAAGCUUCUUGAGAAAUGGGUUCAAUGGUGCUUGAGAUAAAGUGUAGAAAAAAUACAAACCAAAGGAAGAUUUUCAGGAAGCCAGAAAGGCUAAAAGGGGACAGAUCAUGUGGUGUCUGUCUUUCCCUCACACUCUGAGGGAGCACAGAGGUGAACCAGGAAAAGGAAGGUGUAAGUAAACUAGCAAUAAUACCGGACUGCCACGAAGCACUAAGAGAAGGAGGGUUGUUUACAUAUAAUGAACCCUCAUCCUGUCUGUUGGAAUGCUAAUCCUGUCAGUCUACCAUUACUAUAAUACAGAAUAUGUAUUACCCCAGAAGGAUUUGAGAGGAACCCACCGUUUUUUUUCUUCCAGUCACAAAGGAGUCACCAGUGGAAGUGGUGGUGGAUUCAGAUGAUGAAAGGGUAGGAAACAUAUUACCAAUAUCCUAAGUUAAUCCUUAAUUGAAAAAAUACAUCUCUCAGUAAAGACUUCCCAAAAACUUUACAUGAACUGUUUUAUGAGAGCAUACAGGUGACAUGCAGUGGCUUUGCCAGAUCUUAAGAUGUAGUCAUUCAUGCUCUUUUUCUUCCUAUUAUCUCUUUGGCAUAUAGAAGACUGUUCUUAAGGCUAUUCUGUGCAGGAAGUGCUAGGUAUGUUCAUAAAGGUGUGGCUUAGCUCCCUAGCAAUUCCAUGGUAACACGGGUGUAGUAAACUAGCCUUAAGUAAAACAAACAAGCUUUGUGGAAAUCAAAAGCUGAGAAUGCAAGCUGUCUCUUUGAUUAAAGCAUAAAAUCUUUGAUUGUAGGUGGUGAGCUGCACCUUGUUUCCCUCAUCCAGCAGUUUCACAGGGGUUGGAUGCAUUAUGUCUUUCAGUGCUUUCAAUGCUAAUGCAAAGGAAUGUUUUUAAAAAUCCUUUUUGCAAGAUAUGAGAAAAAGAAGUUAAAUUUAUAUAGUCGCAAAAAUGUGGCUAAAGGGAAAUGCCUUGUAUCAUUUACUAAAAAUCUCAUCUUGUACAGUAUGGCUCAUCUGAAAGAGAGCAGAACACUUAAUACUAAACAGAAUCUACACCCUUUGUCAUGUUUGUCUUCCCAGGGAAUAAAGAUGAAUAGCAUAAGCUUCAAUUUUGCAGAUACAUCGUCAGACGUGGAUUCCUACCCACAUAGAAAGUAA
rnacentral:lncRNA from 1 species